rnacentral:rRNA from 1 species
UUUAGAGGAAGUAAAAGUCGUAACAAGGUCUCCGUUGGUGAACCAGCGGAGGGAUCAUUACCGAGUUUACAACUCCCAAACCCCUGUGAACAUACCUAUACGUUGCCUCGGCGGAUCAGCCCGCGCCCCGUAAAACGGGACGGCCCGCCCGAGGACCCCUAAACUCUGUUUUUAGUGGAACUUCUGAGUAAAACAAACAAAUAAAUCAAAACUUUCAACAACGGAUCUCUUGGUUCUGGCAUCGAUGAAGAACGCAGCAAAAUGCGAUAAGUAAUGUGAAUUGCAGAAUUCAGUGAAUCAUCGAAUCUUUGAACGCACAUUGCGCCCGCCAGUAUUCUGGCGGGCAUGCCUGUUCGAGCGUCAUUUCAACCCUCAAGCUCAGCUUGGUGUUGGGACUCGCGGUAACCCGCGUUCCCCAAAUCGAUUGGCGGUCACGUCGAGCUUCCAUAGCGUAGUAAUCAUACACCUCGUUACUGGUAAUCGUCGCGGCCACGCCGUAAAACCCCAACUUCUGAAUGUUGACCUCGGAUCAGGUAGGAAUACCCGCUGAACUUAAGCAUAUCAAUAAG